rnacentral:tRNA from 1 species
UGCGGAGUAGAGAAGCCUGGUCAAUCUCGCGUGGCUCAUAACCACGAGAUCGUCGGCUCAAAUCCGACCUGCCGCAACUA